rnacentral:rRNA from 1 species
GACGAACGCUGGCGGCGUGCUUAACACAUGCAAGUCUAGGGGGCUCAGCAAUGGGUCACCGGCGAACGGGUGCGUAACACGUGAGCGACCUACCCCGGUAUGGGGGAUAGCCGGCCCAACGGCCGGGUAAUACCGCAUACGCUCUCCCGAGCUUCAUGGCUUGGAGAGGAAACUUUUUUGGUACUGGGAGGGGCUCGCGGCCUAUCAGCUAGUUGGCGGGGUAACGGCCCACCAAGGCAAUGACGGGUAGCUGGUCUGAGAGGAUGGCCAGCCACAUUGGGACUGAGAUACGGCCCAGACUCCUACGGGAGGCAGCAGUGGGGAAUCUUGCGCAAUGGCCGAAAGGCUGACGCAGCGACGCCGCGUGGAGGAUGACGCCCUUCGGGUGU